UUUAAACAUUCAAUUUGGUCUUCCAAGACACAAUUGUAAUCUUUUCAUCAGAUCCUCACUAACAGUGUUUGCAGUGUCAGGUGACAUGGCUUGGGAGGUUCUUCAUCUGGUGACAUUAAGGAAAUCGUUCGGUGGUCGUGGUGUGAGCGGCGACGGUGCGAACAACAGUGGUGUCAGUGAUAGAGCUCCACUGUCGCCUGUUUGCAAUUGAAAGCAGUUGGUGGUUGUGCAAACAACGUUCACAACAGCCUCGGGAGAAGAUUUUGGGGUUGUCCUAACUACAGGGUGAGGGUUUUAUUGAAAGUGUUGUGUUGAUCCCUAUUUUUUUAUGGCCAUGGUUGAUUUGUAUUUGUGUUUUUGUUUGAGAAACAACGUGGGAGUGCGAGUGGCUGCAACUUCUUUCAAUGGUGUCCAAAUGACAUUAAUGACAAAGAUCUUGUUAUUGCCAGACAGAGGAGGAAGAUUAACAACCUUGAAAGUUCAUUGAAGGCAAAGGAAAAAUGGCUGAAAAUUUUCAUUGUAAUUUGUUGUGUUCUGUUAGUCAUGAUUGUUAUACUCAUUUGACUAAACAUGGUUGUCAAAGGAGUUAUCCAUGGAAGGAUUAUGUAUCUGUAAUAGAGUUCCUUUUUACAUUGUAAUUUGUUUGGUUAUGUUAGGUUGAAAAUCAUUUUUUACACAUUCUGGUAUCAAUGAGAUCACUUAUUAAUGUAUUUGAUUACA